rnacentral:rRNA from 1 species
UACAGAGGUCUCAAGCGUUGUUCGGAUUCAUUGGGCGUAAAGGGUGCGUAGGCGGCGCGGUAAGUCGGGUGUGAAAUCUCGGAGCUUAACUCCGAAACUGCAUUUGAUACUGCCGUGCUUGAGGACUGGAGAGGAGACUGGAAUUUACGGUGUAGCGGUGAAAUGCGUAGAUAUCGUAAGGAAGACCAGUGGCGAAGGCGGGUCUCUGGGCCACUACUGACGCUGAGAAGCGAAAGCAUGGGGAGCGAACAGG